rnacentral:rRNA from 1 species
UACGGAGGGUGCAAGCGUUAAUCGGAAUUACUGGGCGUAAAGCGUGCGCAGGCGGUUUGUUAAGUCCGUUGUGAAAUCCCCGAGCUCAACUUGGGAAUUGCAAUGGAUACUGGCAAGCUGGAGUAUGGUAGAGGAAGGUGGAAUUCCCGGUGUAGCAGUGAAAUGCGCAGAUAUCGGGAAGAACACCCGUUGCGAAGGCGGCUCUCUGGGACGGUACUGACGCUGAGACGCGAAAGCGUGGGGAGCGAACAGG